GUUAAUCUAAGCUUUGUUUAGAUUAAAUAAAAUUUAGAGAUAUUUUGAUUUUUUAAGAAAGCUUAAAUAAAGAUUCGAGAUUUGGAAAGGGAAACAUCCGGCGUUAAGAAGUAUUAAUUGGCGGGCAAAGUUAGUAGCGGAGAGCGAGGGCUUUGUAUUAAAGUUUAAUAAGAUAAAGGGGAAACGAAAUUAUUAACAAAGGGGCAGCUUUUAUUUAUUAAAGGCGGCUUGUUUUUUGUUUAUUCUUAUAUAAAAAAUAUGGGGGCCACCGAUAGAGAAGAGUACUGUGAAGGAAAGUUUAAAAUUUUGUCUUUAAAGCAGAUAUUGUUAUCGUACCUUUUGUAUAAGGGGUUUGUAAGAAGUUUUUAGCGAGGCGGGGGCCGUAAUGAGAGUGAGUCUUCUAUAGUUAAAAAUCCCGAAACUAAGUGAUCUAAUUAUGGGCAGCCUGAAGUUAUAUGGGAGUAUAAUGGAGGGGCGAACUGGUAACUGUGGCAAAAGUUUCAGAUGAUCUAUAGUUGGUGGUGAGAGACUAAUCGAACUUAGAAAUAGCUGGUUUUCUACGAAAUUUAUUUUAGUAAAGUGAAAAUUUAAAUAAAUAUUAUUAAAUACUCGUUAUUUGGGAGAGUAAAUUUUAGAGUUUCAAUGAGAGUGGGGGCGUAAAGUUGUCGCUCGAGAGGGGAAAAGCCCGGAUAUUAGCUAAAGGCGUGAAAAGAAUUUUAAGUGCAAAAGGGGGAUUAAUUUAGAUAAAAAGAAAGUGGGCUUGGAAGUAGCCAUCUUAUAAAGAGUGUGUAAUUACAUAAUUUUAAAGUUAUGGCCCUUUAAAAUGUGGGCGACUUAAAAAAGUAUUAAAGCUAUGGGCGUUUAAUAUAGAUUUAUUUAUAUUAAGCAAAAUUUAGGUAGUAGAAUAUACUGUAUUGGAUAAUGAAAAUAGAUCAGUAGAAAUAAUGCAAACAUGAGUAAAAAAUACCUGGGGGAAGUCUACAAAAGCUUUUAUUUAUUUUAAUAAGUAAAACAAUUUAUUAAAAGCAUUUUUUUAAUUAAGAUAAGAUAUUAUCGGGGUAUUUGAGUAAAAAUUAAUAGGCAGUAGGAUAGUUUAAUAUUAAGAAAUAUUAUUUGUUUUUCGCCCUGUAAUAGGUUUUUGAUUUUUAUUUUUUGUAGUAUAAUUUAAGACUAUCGGGGAUAGUUGAAGAGGAAUGGGGGUUCCGACUGACAAUAGAGGGUAUUUAAAUGAAUGACUUUAUAUUAAGGAAUUCGGCAAAAUGUUUUUGUAAGAUUACGAGAAGAAAAGAGUUUAAUUAAAGGGACUAUAAAAUUUUUGCUUUUUAUUAGUAUUUAUAUAUAUAAUAUGAAGAGAUCCAUAUUAUGUUUUAAUUAGACAAAAAUUAGGAGGUGUCGACUGUUUCGCAAAAACAUAGCUUCUAGUAAAGAAUAGAGGUGAGACCUGUCCAGUGACUAUUUCUAAAUAUCGUUUCGAUUAUAAGGGUAGUUAAACGGCCGCGGUAAUUAUGACCGUGUUAAAGUAGCGCAAUCAAUCGCCAAUUAAUUGUUGGCAAGUAUGAAGGUUUCACGAAUGCCUCACUGUCUCAAUAUAAAGUUUAUUGAAAUUGGAAUUUUAGUGAAGAUACUAAAUAGUAAUUGAAAGACGAGAAGACCCCGUGAGCUUUACUGGAGUGUUAAUUAUUAUUAAUACAGACAGUUUAGUUGGGGCGACUCCCCUAUAAAGAGUAACUAGGGGGCUUGUGGGUUAAGAAAUAGUUAAACCUAAGACAAUAAGGGGGCCCUCCCAAAUUGGCAUGUAGUUUUUUGGUUUAUUAAAAUCUUUAGAACUUGGUGGGAUAUAUUGAUCCGCAAUUUAUAAGUUGCGAUAGCGGCAAAAAGUUACCGCGGGGAUAACAGGGUAAUUUGGUUUGAGAGUUCGUAUCGAAGACGGAGUUUGCUACCUCGAUGUUGAAUUGUGAUAUCCUGAAGGCGCAGGAGUUUUCAAGGGUUGGACUGUUCGUCCAUUAAAAUCGCACAUGAUUUGAGUUCAGACCGGCGUGAGCCAGGUCGGUUUCUAUCUUCAAUUAUUUAAUGUCUUUUAUUUUUUUAGUACGAAAGGAGGAAAAAGAGCUUGUUCUAUGAUUUUUAAUUAAGACAAAGAAGUAAUUAUUAAAUACAUAUAUAAGAAAUUUAAAGAGUAUGUUAUUUUAGAUAAAAAUAAUUUAAAUACUAAUAAUGAUAUUAAGAAACA
rnacentral:rRNA from 1 species